UGCUGCACUGCGCCGGGACAACGGGACGGCGCGCUGGGCGUGGGCGCUCGCCGCGGUCCCGGGGCGGGUCCCGGUCCCGGUCCCGGUCCGAGGCCGAUGCUGCUCGGUUGGCUCCGGUCACCCCGGAAAAAGCGGUGCAGUGCAAGGCCGGCCCCCCCCCCCCCUCCUUGGGAAGCUCCGAGGGCCACGGGCAUGACCCCCACCCCACCCCCACCCCGAGGUCAAGGGUGCAUUCUUCUGCCCCUGGCCUCGGGGACACCCGAAGAGACAAGGACGGAACCUGCCUUCCUGGGAAAGCUUUUUGUUAUGGGACGCUCGCUUUGGUGCCUGAGCUCUUGGUGCAUUUCUAAAUGACUGUUUUGCAAGGUCAAAGCCCCCGCACGUUGCCAUCUGCUACAUUUUGAUACGACCCAGGAAUUCAGAACUGAAAGCCCCGGAGUGUGACCUAGAUAAAAAGGACUAAAGCCAUCUUUAAGAGGAUAUUAGGGCUGGGAGGGAGGCUGAUGGAACAAUUGUAGAAAAGGAUUUGUUUCUGGUUUGGGCUAAGAGGGAUUGUAAAUCUGUACAGCGCCCGGGGCACAUUGAGCAGAGAGCGACCGGUUAACGACCGAUUAGACAUCCUAACACUAGCCAAUUAAAGCCAAAUCAACCAAAGGUCACCAGGAAGAAACCUGCAAUCGGACAAAACCAGAUUUAUUUGUAAAUCGGGAGGAAGGCGCCAGAAGUUUAAAAAAAAAAAAGGGAGAUGGAGGAGGAAACCCCUUUGUAAGGUUUAGGUUCCCGCCAAAAGAAUCUGAGGAGGGUCGAGGGAGAGCUGGGAUCGGUUCUGGAUUGGACCUCGAUUCUGAGGAGGUGAGGAAAAACGGGGAAUAGCAAGGCAUUGGAUGCGAUCAUGAGGCUAGGACAAUUUCAUAACAAACGCGAAUGACAAGGUACACUUAGUGUUCGUGGGUAAAAGAGCAGUGAUCAUUCAGAAAUGAUGAAUGCUGUUUUGUAGCUGCUUCUGGUGGGGGAAAAGAUGCUGUAUCCGUGUGUAUCCUCAGCACAGCCUUUCCUUCCGGCGUGGACCGAUUUUCACUCUUUUUAGUCCGGCAGAAACCAGGAAUCAUGCAGACCUAAACAGAAUUUCGAGUUCUCCGUUUACAGCUCCAAUUUUUUUUUUCAGUCAUGUGUCAACAUGGACAGAAUCCGUUUUAUUGGCAUAUUCCGGCCCACGUCUCCUUACCCUGACGCUCUUUGCAUUUACUUAAAUCUAGAGAAAAGAGUAAAGAGAGAAAGUCGAGUGAAAGGAACAGGGGAGAGGCUGUGGCAUUAAAACGAACAAAAAUCCCACACUGAAUGAAGUGAAUGAGGAAAAUAGACAUGGAGAUAACAAAAAACAAAAAAGCAUUCCAUGAGUGCCCAUGGAUUAGAAAUAUUAGUUCAGGGCGUAGUGGGAAUAGUCAUAAAAGAGGUGUUCAGGGUGGGAACCCUAGGUUCCCAGGGUAUUUGGGUGGAAGGGUCAGAGUCAAACUGAGUCAGCAAAAAUCUACCAUUUAGACCACAUAGUAGUCUGGUAGUUUUCAAAAUACAGCUUAACUAGAUACCAAAAUUUAAAAAAAGAAGUUUCAAUUUUUUAAAAAUGAAGAUUUUUUGGCUCCUCUUGCUUUCUGUCCAUCAUUCGUUGGACAGCCUCCCUCAUAUUGCUCCCACCACCACGAUGCUCUGCAUCGCUCAGACCCAGAACCAGUGAAUAUAAAGACUGCUGACCAAAACCUUCAAAACUGAGAACCAAAAUAAACUUUCCUCUGAAAAGAAUGUCUAAGUCUGGAGCAUGGGGUACCUGAGCCUUCUUGUUCAGCCACUGCCGGACAUAGUCCUGCCUUACUCAUUAUCUGAUUGGCUAUUAUAGGAGACAUUUGUAUUUGUAACUUCUGAGAAAUCUACAACUUCCAGAGGAAAAUAUUAAUGCCAAAAGUGGCUGACAGGAAAAUGAAACGGAAAAUGAAAAUGAACAAUCCAUGUCGUCCUUCCUCCCUACAGUAAGGUGGAGAUAAAAUUACUAGAGGGACAACUGGUAAACCAGGAGCCAAAGCAGCCAUUCUGGUCUUCACCCAGUGGCACACUCCAGAGGUGAAGAUAAGGGAAUCGGGAGUUUACAAGCCAGCCGGGGCUUCAUUGCAUGACUCUUGUCUCAAAACACACACACACACACACACACACACACACACACACACACACACACACACACAGCACCUGGUCUUGGGAAAGCAUGUUAGAUUGGAUGAGGUUCAGUACGGACCAAAAUGAAGCUGUUGACUCUGAGCAGGCUCCGCCUUGGUCAUUGCAGAGUUCUUAUCUACACAGCCUGAAUCUGAGAUAACAUUUCCAAGGGACCGUAAGUACAGCGAGUGUGCUGAUUGUACUGAUGAUGAAAGAAUGGCAUCCAUAGAUAAGAAAGAGAAGUAUUGACCUCGUAAGGACAGUAGUGAAGUGGGUGUGGGGACAGGAAGAUUGGAAGGAAUGGGCUCCAGUGGUGUGGAUAUGGUUUAAUAGGUAACCUGAGAGGCAACCUUUAGCUGUCAUUUAAUUCCUAGUCCAAUGUCACCAUUUCACAAAUGGGCAAAUGAUGGGGAGUCUAGAGACCUGCUUAAAGCCACACAACCAGUCUGUUACAUAAUUACAUCUGGAAGACGCCUGAGGAUCCCCUUCUACUACUUUACUGCCAUCCCAUAUUUCUUCUGUUAUAAUUAUCUGCAAUGAACUAUUUAGUUUAUUAGGUGAUUUAAGAAAAAUUAUGUGUAGGUAUGUAUUGGUGAAAUUAUUAAGGCCACUCCACGUAGUUAAAAGGGAGGUUUAUUUUGUGGGGUAACUUAUAAGUGAAGGGAUAGGGUGCAGGGUCUGGCAAAGGUGUGGCGCAGUCCGGCGGUGGUCUCUGGAGAACUCUGCUCAGUCUACCUCCAGCGUCCAAGGUCCAGGAACCAAGAGAGCCAGGGCAUCCGGAUCCCGGGUCUUCAGGGGUCCUCUCUCGGCCCCGCCUUGUAAGCGUGACAGUUACCGAAGCCUCGAUGGGGGUUGGAACUUCCAGGUCAAAGCUGGAAUGGCUACCCACUACAGAGUCUCUCGUAGUCUCAAACUCACUAUUUAACUGAGAAUGACCUUAAACCCAUGAUCCUCCAUUGCCCACCUCUCAGGUGCUGGAUUACAGUUCCAGUUCUUGACCGAUGCACUUAACCUGGGAAGAACUUUCGGAAGCCAUCCAUCCUGCUGUCUUCAGACAGCUCAUCCUCAGCCAUCGCGAUGCAGAAGAAAGACGAUUCCAAGAAACUGGCUCUGGCUUGGCCGCUAAUUAACGGUAUAAUUUCUAUCAUUCCCCUCGAUCUCUCAGCCCGUUUUGUCAUUUGUAAAAUAAAAGGGCUUGAGAGACAUACUCUCCAGAGGGUCUUUCAUGCCUGUGGAUCUGAUGACAGAAGAACCAUCUUAGAUCGUUCUCUUUCAGACUUCCUCAAUGAAAAGUCAUCUUCCGUAAUAAAGUCAGAGGUUGCUACAAUCAACUUUUGUUUUUCAGUUUUACUCUCAGAAAAGUUUCCUCUUCCUUUUUUUCUUUUCUUUCUUUUUUAGAUUUAUUUCUUUUAUGUGCCUUGGUGUUCUGCCUGCAUGUGUAUCUGUGUAAGGGUGUCAGAUCCCCUGGAACUGGAGUUGCAGACAAUUGUGAGCUGCCAUGUGGGUGCCCAUCUCUUCACCCUUCCUCUUUCUAUCUUAAGUUCUUCAGUCUGUGAGUCUUUUUUUCUUCCUUAAUAGUCUUUCUUAAUAGUCUCCUUAACCUUUUCUUUUCUUUUCCUUUUUUUUUUUUUUU